GUAUUUGUCUUUAAGUGUGAAACUAGGGCAAAUUCGAAGGGCUUCCUUCAUUGUAAAUCAUCCUUCAAGAGAAGAAAUAACAAUUACUCUCUUUAUGCUCUCUACUCUUCUUCUUUAUUCUUUCUUGUUUAUAAUACGUUAUCAGCACGAGACUCUACCGUCUUAAAUUUGAAGGCUAAGGCUAAGGUAUUAUUUUUUUUAUUUCUUAUUUUUUUCAUAUGGCUAACAAUCUUACGAAGUGUGAGUUCGUUUCCCUUCAAAGUUCGGACAAGAACUAUAUUUCAUGGGUGUUGGAUGCUGAAAUCCACCUAGAUGCUAUGGGUCUUGGAGAC
rnacentral:lncRNA from 1 species